rfam:Camelus ferus unplaced genomic scaffold scaffold334, whole genome shotgun sequence.
GAGGGUAUAGCUCAGUGGUAGAGCGUGUGCUUAGCAUGCACGAGGUCCUGGGUUCAAUCCCCAGUACCUCCA